GACGAACGCUGGCGGCGUGCCUAAUACAUGCAAGUUGAGCGCUGAAGGUUGGUACUUGUACCAACUGGGUGAGCAGCGAACGGGUGAGUAACGCGUGGGGAAUCUGCCUUUGAGCGGGGGACAACAUUUGGAAACGAAUGCUAAUACCGCAUAAAAACUUUAAACACAAGUUUUAAGUUUGAAAGAUGCAAUUGCAUCACUCAAAGAUGAUCCCGCGUUGUAUUAGCUAGUUGGUGAGGUAAAGGCUCACCAAGGCGAUGAUACAUAGCCGACCUGAGAGGGUGAUCGGCCACAUUGGGACUGAGACACGGCCCAAACUCCUACGGGAGGCAGCAGUAGGGAAUCUUCGGCAAUGGACGAAAGUCUGACCGAGCAACGCCGCGGGAGUGAAGAAGGUUUUCGGAUCGUAAAACUCUGUUGGUAGAGAAGAACGUUGGUGAGAGUGGAAAGCUCAUCAAGUGACGGUAACUACCCAGAAAGGGACGGCUAACUACGUG
rnacentral:rRNA from 1 species